UACGUAGGGGGCAAGCGUUGUCCGGAAUUAUUGGGCGUAAAGGAGCGCGUAGGCGGUCCGGAUAAGUCGGCUGUGGAAAGUCAAGGGGCUCAACCCGUUGAAAGCCUGGCCGAAUACUGUCGGACUAGAGUCCGGAAGAGGCGAGUGGAAUUCCGUGGUGUAGCGGUGAAAUGCGCAGAUAUCAAGGAAGAACACCCGUGGCGAAGGCGGCUCCUCUGGGACGGUACUGACGCUGAGACGCGAAAGCGUGGGGAGCGAACAGG
rnacentral:rRNA from 1 species